rnacentral:rRNA from 1 species
UACGGGGGGGGCAAGCGUUGUUCGGAAUUACUGGGCGUAAAGGGUUCGUAGGUGGCCAACUAAGUCAGACGUGAAAUCCCUCAGCUUAACUGGGGAACUGCGUCUGAGACUGGAUGGCUUGAGUGCAGGAGAGGAACGCGGAAUUCCAGGUGUAGCGGUGAAAUGCGUAGAUAUCUGGAGGAACACCGGUGGCGAAGGCGGCGUUCUGGACUGCAUCUGACGCUCAGACGCGAAAGCUAGGGGAGCAAACGGG